GAGUUUGAUCAUGGCUCAGAUUGAACGCUGGCGGCAGGCCUAACACAUGCAAGUCGAACGGUAACAGGAAACAGCUUGCUGUUUCGCUGACGAGUGGCGGACGGGUGAGUAAUGUCUGGGAAACUGCCUGAUGGAGGGGGAUAACUACUGGAAACGGUAGCUAAUACCGCAUAACGUCGCAAGACCAAAGAGGGGGACCCUCGGGCCUCUUGCCAUCGGAUGUGCCCAGAUGGGAUUAGCUUGUUGGUGGGGUAACGGCUCACCAAGGCGACGAUCCCUAGCUGGUCUGAGAGGAUGACCAGCCACACUGGAACUGAGACACGGUCCAGACUCCUACGGGAGGCAGCAGUGGGGAAUAUUGCACAAUGGGCGCAAGCCUGAUGCAGCCAUGCCGCGUGUAUGAAGAGGGCCUUCGGGUUGUAAAGUACUUUCAGCGGGGAGGAAGGGAGUAAAGUUAAUACCUUUGCUCAUUGACGUUACCCGCAGAAGAAGCACCGGCUAACUCCGUGCCAGCAGCCGCGGUAAUACGGAGGGUGCAAGCGUUAAUCGGAAUUACUGGGCGUAAAGCGCACGCAGGCGGUUUGUUAAGUCAGAUGUGAAAUCCCCGGGCUCAACCUGGGAACUGCAUCUGAUACUGGCAAGCUUGAGUCUCGUAGAGGGGGGUAGAAUUCCAGGUGUAGCGGUGAAAUGCGUAGAGAUCUGGAGGAAUACCGGUGGCGAAGGCGGCCCCCUGGACGAAGACUGACGCUCAGGUGCGAAAGCGUGGGGAGCAAACAGGAUUAGAUACCCUGGUAGUCCACGCCGUAAACGAUGUCGACUUGGAGGUUGUGCCCUUGAGGCGUGGCUUCCGGAGCUAACGCGUUAAGUCGACCGCCUGGGGAGUACGGCCGCAAGGUUAAAACUCAAAUGAAUUGACGGGGGCCCGCACAAGCGGUGGAGCAUGUGGUUUAAUUCGAUGCAACGCGAAGAACCUUACCUGGUCUUGACAUCCACGGAAGUUUUCAGAGAUGAGAAUGUGCCUUCGGGAACCGUGAGACAGGUGCUGCAUGGCUGUCGUCAGCUCGUGUUGUGAAAUGUUGGGUUAAGUCCCGCAACGAGCGCAACCCUUAUCCUUUGUUGCCAGCGGUCCGGCCGGGAACUCAAAGGAGACUGCCAGUGAUAAACUGGAGGAAGGUGGGGAUGACGUCAAGUCAUCAUGCCCCUUACGACCAGGGCUACACACGUGCUACAAUGG
rnacentral:rRNA from 1 species